rnacentral:rRNA from 1 species
GACGAACGCUGGCGGCGUGCUUAACACAUGCAAGUCGAACGGAAAGGCCCUGCUUGCAGGGUACUCGAGUGGCGAACGGGUGAGUAACACGUGGGUGAUCUGCCCUGCACUUCGGGAUAAGCUUGGGAAACUGGGUCUAAUACCUGAUAGGAACCAUCUUUAGUGUGGUGGUUGGAAAGUUUUUUCGGUGUAGGAUGAGCUCGCGGCCUAUCAGCUUGUUGGUGGGGUAAUGGCCUACCAAGGCGGCGACGGGUAGCCGGCCUGAGAGGGUGUACGGCCACAUUGGGACUGAGAUACGGCCCAGACUCCUACGGGAGGCAGCAGUGGGGAAUAUUGCACAAUGGGCGCAAGCCUGAUGCAGCGACGCCGCGUGGGGGAUGAAGGCCUUCGGGUUGUAAACUCCUUUCGCUAGGGACGAAGCUUUGUUGUGACGGUACCUAGAGAAGAAGCACCGGCUAACUACGUG